GCCAGACUCCUACGGGAGGCAGCAGUGAGGGAUAUUGGUCAAUGGGGGAAACCCUGAACCAGCAACGCCGCGUGAGGGAAGACGGUUUUCGGAUUGUAAACCUCUGUCCUCUGUGAAGAUAAUGACGGUAGCAGAGGAGGAAGCUCCGGCUAACUACGUGCCAGCAGCCGCGGUAAUACGUAGGGGGCAAGCGUUAUCCGGAUUUACUGGGUGUAAAGGGGGCGCAGACGGCGAUGCAAGCCAGGAGUGAAAGCCCGGGGCCCAACCCCGGGACUGCUCUUGGAACUGCGUGGCUAGAGUGCAGGAGGGGCAGGCGGAAUUCCUGGUGUAGCGGUGAAAUGCGUAGAUAUCAGGAGGAACACCGGUGGCGAAGGCGGCCUGCUGGACUGCAACUGACGUUGAGGCCCGAAAGCGUGGGGAGCAAACAGGAUUAGAUACCCUAGUAC
rnacentral:rRNA from 1 species